UUGGCUGAUCCCGCGACUUCCUCCUCGUUCUUCCUGGGCCACCAUCCUAAGGGAGGCGGUCCCUGGCUAAAGUCCUUGUGACUCCAGCCUGAAGACUGACUUCUUGGGGCCAUCUCAGCCCCCACGGGCACCCUCAAAGGAUGGCUCAUCCUGAGGCCGGCUACUAUCAGAAUGCCCUGGAUCAGCUCAAGCAGCACUUCCCCAGGUUCCCCACUCACUUGAUGACACAGAUGGACAGCGCUUACUACUUGGUGAGCCCCGGCCCGGGAAGCCCCGCCC